CCUCUGGACUUCGGAAGAAUCAGACUGAGCAAAUUCCUGUGCCUCUUAUAUGAGCCACGCAAGCCACCACAGGUAUGAGGCCUCAGGAACGUGAAGUCGGGAUAGGAAGGAUAAGCUGCAGGGUCAGAUACAGUGUCCCUGGUCCAUGUAAAGGGCCUUGAGACAGCCACUAAUAGUCUCUGUGGCCCAGAUCCUGGGGAACCUCUUAUAUCAGCAUCCCCUUUGAUUUAUUGAUAUGUCUUGAUAUAAUAUCAGAGAGAGAGAGAGAGAGAGAGAUCAAGUGUGUUUGAAUGUGUGCGUGGUGCACAUGUGUACAGAGUGUAUGUGUGUAGUUCUAUGUAUCUCUAGUCCCUUGCACUCAGGAGAUGGAGGCAGGAGCAAGACCAUCCUCUGCUAUAUAGUGAGUUUGAAGUCAACUUGAAAUACAUGAGACUGUGUAAAAAAAUCCUAAUCAUACAAAACAAUAAAAAUCAAAGGGUGUGUUUACAGGAUGUGAGCUCUGUCAUAAUGUUAAGUGAUUCUUCUAAGUGCUACAACAGAGUUUGUUCACAGCCUGCAACAGGCAACCAAGAAGCUUUGAGGGCAUAGUCACCAAAGAAAAUAAAUUUUCAGAGUUAACUCAUUUCCUAAGGCCUUCCCCCUCUCCCUCCCCCUUGAGGAAACAAGAAAGAGAAAUUGCCCCAUACUAAGAUCAAGGCUCUUUGGGCAAAUUGCAAUUUGUACAGACUGUCUUUAAAGGUAAAACUGUUUAAUGCAGCCCAAUGAACUAGCCACAAACUAUGAGAGGAUGCCAGAAGCCCCAGUUCAAGGUUCACAACUGAAAAUAGCACUCAAGGGCCAAGCUGUGCCGUUCUUCACACAGUGGCACCUUUAUCUCUACAGGCAGCUAUGUCAGGAGCAGCAAUGGGCUCCCUUGCCAUUGGAGGCUCGGGGUUCACUAAUCCCACACAGAUAGAUGCUGACUGUGGGAACUCAAGACAGACUCACAAGCUGAGCAAUGUGCAAGGUUUCUUGUGUCUCCCUAAAUACAUGGUGACCUUAAGACUCCUUCUAGGAGUCAAGGCCCAGCUGCCACCCCUGCUACUGACUCCCUCUGCCAUUCUUUGAAGGACCUUCAAAAUAUGUGUCCAACAAAUGAACGGAGUUGGGGAAUAUUCUUGCUUGUUUCUGUACAGAGGCUUAUACCAUAGGAUACAAUUUGAGAAGAAUCAACAUUCCACAUCCUAUUGUGAGAAACACUCAUUCUCUUACAGAUACUGAGCAGCCAACUCAGUGUCUAUGUCCCCAACUGUUCUCUAGUUUGUCAACCACAUGUGCCAUCAUAGAUUGAACAUCCAUCUCACACAAAUGGCUGCACACUUAGCUCUGGGGUCUUCAGAUCCCCUUCCAAGAACAAAGUUAACUCUCAGCCAACACCCACUGGAUCUGGGACCUCCUUUCCCUGAUAUGACUUAGAGACACUUAAAUUUUACAUGCCAGGUGGGAACUCCAUAAUAGUGGGAGGCCUCAAAAGCUUCGAAACGUGGUCAGGAAACAAAGGCAGGAGCUGCCACACCCAUGCCAGGAGUCCCUGUGAGGCUAAACCCCAUCCCUGCCUUGCAAACACAUCCCUAUAUCAGGGUUUCAAAUGGAUCUGGAGGCUUUGUGGCCUGGUCACCCUGACAGCCUCCUCAGGGUUUCUUCCAGGGUCAAAGACAGGUGCUAAUCACCAUUGCUCUGUGUGAGAAACCAGGCUGUGCCUUUGGCAUCUCUUUAAGGAGGAGCACUCCAGAGAUGUGUGAGAGCCUGCUGAGGGCUGUUGUUCACCAGGGACACAGGAAAGGGCAUCUCCAGAAGUGUAAUUGGACCAGCACCGCAUGCAAUUACCUGUCUGCAUGUCCUCUGGCCACUUAAAUGAUGUUUUUAUUUAAAGCAUGAUGAAUCCAGGAAGUUUUUGAUUACCUGUGAUAACGGGGGUCAAGGGUCAGUUGAAUAAUCGAAAUGAAAACCUUACUCCUCUUGAGAUGUCUCUCCUUUCCAUCCUUUUCCAAAGCCCCCUUGGACAGGGUCCAGGCUCUAGUGUCCCGCUGGAAAGGAUACUGUGCUGCAAGCCCCAUCCCACCCCAGUGAAGACAUGGCUCUGAAGAGUGGCACUGAAGCAAAGCAGCCUCCCUGCGGAGCUUUCCCAAGCUAACCUGUUAUUACUGCCUCUCUGAAGUUGGCGCCGCCGCUCGCCCACCCACUGCCAGUGAGUACUACGCAUGGAGACGGUCUAGGAGCUGGCAGAUCAGAUCAGAUCACUUCAGCAACUCGCACAGCCUCACAGCCUCAGUUUCUCCUCUGGACAAUGCAUACCAAGACAGCUCUGUACAAAAACUCCCGAUGUAAAAUGUCCAGAGUGAAGUAUUGCUUGCAUGGAGGGAGCUCUUGAUUUGCAGCACAGGGCUCAGAACGGCCUCUGGGUGAAGAAGUCGGUUCCCUAGGCCUCAGUGACUAGUUGUCACAAACUCAAAACUACAGGACUCUUAGUUAAAUUGAUAUUUCCUGGGAACAGUUGAGUAGUGUUUUAGGAAGAACUGCUUCUAUACGACCUUCUUGUAUCAAGACAAUAGUCACUGUUUAAUUGAAAUUUAAAAUUUA